rnacentral:rRNA from 1 species
UACGAAGGGGGCUAGCGUUGCUCGGAAUCACUGGGCGUAAAGCGCACGUAGGCGGACUCUUAAGUCGGUGGUGAAAUCCUGGAGCUCAACUCCAGAACUGCCUUCGAUACUGGGGGUCUCGAGUCCGAGAGAGGUGAGUGGAACUGCGAGUGUAGAGGUGAAAUUCGUAGAUAUUCGCAAGAACACCAGUGGCGAAGGCGGCUCACUGGCUCGGUACUGACGCUGAGGUGCGAAAGCGUGGGGAGCAAACAGG